rnacentral:rRNA from 1 species
CGACCACAUGACUUUCAAACAUCGGUUCUCGUACGAUCACUGAAGUUAAGCAAUGUCGAGCCUAGACAGUUCUUAGAUGGGUGGCCGCUUGUGAAUACCAGAUGUUGUAAG